rnacentral:miRNA from 1 species
CCUUUUCUAUCCAUGGCACUGG